AGGACGAACGCUGGCGGCGUGCUUAACACAUGCAAGUCGAGCGGAAAGGCCCUUCGGGGUACUCGAGCGGCGAACGGGUGAGUAACACGUGAGUAAUCUGCCCUUAGCUCUGGGAUAGCUCCGGGAAACCGGGAUUAAUACCAGAUACGACCACUUUAGACAUCUGCCGUGGUGGAAAGAAUUUCGGCUAAGGAUGAGCUCGCGGCCUAUCAGCUUGUUGGUGGGGUAACGGCCUACCAAGGCGACGACGGGUAGCCGGCCUGAGAGGGGCGAGUCGGCCGACACUGGGACUGAGACACGGCCCAGACUCCUACGGGAGGCAGCAGUGGGGAAUAUUGCACAAUGGGCGCAAGCCUGAUGCAGCGACGCCGCGUGGGGGAUGAAGGCCUUCGGGUUGUAAACCCUUUCACCAGGAGCGAAUUCAGACGGUACCUGGGGAAGAAGCGCCGGCUAACUACGUGCCAGCAGCCGC
rnacentral:rRNA from 1 species